rnacentral:rRNA from 1 species
GACGAACGCUGGCGGCGUGCUUAACACAUGCAAGUCGAACGGAAAGGCCCUGCUUGCAGGGUACUCGAGUGGCGAACGGGUGAGUAACACGUGGGUGAUCUGCCCUGCACUUCGGGAUAAGCCUGGGAAACUGGGUCUAAUACCGGAUAGGAGCCAUUUUUAGUGUGAUGGUUGGAAAGUUUUUUCGGUGUAGGAUGAGCUGGCGGCCUAUCAGCUUGUUGGUGGGGUAAUGGCCUACCAAGGCGGCGACGGGUAGCCGGCCUGAGAGGGUGGACGGCCACACUGGGACUGAGAUACGGCACAGACUCCUACGGGAGGCAGCAGUGGGGAAUAUUGCACAAUGGGCGCAAGCCUGAUGCAGCGACGCCGCGUGGGGGAUGACGGCCUUCGGGUUGUAAACUCCUUUCGCUAGGGACGAAGCUUUUUGUGACGGUACCUAGAUAAGAAGCACCGGCUAACUACGUG